GAUAUCUUGUGUUAUUGGGUCAGUGGGUAGUUAGCUAGUGGUGUUGGGUGGUAUUGGGUUAAUGCGUGGUGUUGACAUAGCUUGUUUUGUUGGGUUAGCAGGUAAUGGGUUAGCUAGAGGUGUUGGAUGGUAUUGGGAUAGCAGGUGUUGUUGGGUUAGUGAAUAAUGUUGGGUUAGCAGGUGAUGGGUUAGCUAGAGGUGUUGGAUGGUAUUGGGAUAGCAGGUGUUGUUGGGUUAGUGGGUGAUAUGUUAGCUGGUGGUGCUGGGUUCAUGUGUGGUGUUUGAUUAGCUGGUGGUGCUGGGUUAAUGUGUGGUGUUGGGUUGGCUGGUGGUGCUGGGUAAAUGUGUGGUGUUGGAUUAUCUGGUGGUGUUGGGUAAAUGCCUGUUGUUAGGUUAGUACACAGUGUUGGGUUAGCAGGUGAUGGGUUAGCUAGAGGUGUUGCAUGGUAUUGGGAUAGCUGGUGUUGUUGGGUUAGUACAUAGUGUUGGGUUUGCAGGUGAUGGGUUAGUUAGAGGUGUUAGAUGGUAUUGGGAUAGCUGGUGUUGUUGGGUUAGUGAAUAAUGUUGGGUUAGCAGGUGAUGGGUUAGCUAGAGGUGUUGGAUGGUAUUGGGUUAGCUGGUGUUGUUGGGUUAGUAAAUAGUGUU